UUCUAUGGGAGAGAAGCCAGGAGUCAGAGCGGAGUCAAACGUCCGUCCAGGCAGCGGAAGGCAGAAGCACAGUUGUUCUGGGGAAGGAUGUGCCUCUUUGGCUAAGGAGAAGUCUUGGAACUUCUUGAAUUGGGAAGAUAAAAGAUGAAGAAGAUGAUCUUUUAGAGGCUACUUGUACCAAUAGUUUGAGCUCCAAAGGCAUUUCAAUUCUGAUUUGGAGCCUGAAUUUGGGAAAGGAAGAAUCAACAAUAGUUGUCCAAGAGACAAGAUGUCCACCGUGCAUAUGUCUGAUGCCUGCCAAGGUCAGAAGAGGGUGUCGGAGAAACUUGCUUCUCGCCAUGUGAGAUGGAGUACGGCAAAUGUUUGAUCACUAAUCAGGAAGAAAAGUGGAAUUAAACUGGCUACAGAUACUACCAAUUAUUCACAUGACCUUUGUGUUGACUCCAACAGUCAAGUGCUGCAUCCUU
rnacentral:lncRNA from 1 species